AAAACUUUCAACAACGGAUCUCUUGGUUCUCGCAUCGAUGAAGAACGCAGCGAAAUGCGAUACGUAAUGUGAAUUGCAGAAUUCCGUGAAUCAUCGAAUCUUUGAACGCACAUUGCGCCCCUUGGUAUUCCAGGGGGCAUGCCUGUUUGAGCGUCAUUUCCUUCUCAAACAUUCUGUUUGGUAGUGAGUGAUACUCUUUGGAGUUAACUUGAAAUUGCUGGC
rnacentral:rRNA from 1 species